rfam:Triticum urartu cultivar G1812 contig642202, whole genome shotgun sequence.
UGGUGAUGAUGAUAAAACAUAGGCUUGUUUCUCAAAACAUUCGCAGUUGCCGCCUAAGAGCUUUCGCCCUGCCAGGCUUGAGAGCUAAUGCUGCUAAUUCCUUCCUUGGAUGUCUGAGCCA